GACGAACGCUGGCGGCGUGCUUAACACAUGCAAGUCGAACGGAAAGGCCCUGCUUUUGUGGGGUGCUCGAGUGGCGAACGGGUGAGUAACACGUGAGUAACCUGCCCUUGACUUUGGGAUAACUUCAGGAAACUGGGGCUAAUACCGGAUAGGAGCUCCUGCUGCAUGGUGGGGGUUGGAAAGUUUCGGCGGUUGGGGAUGGACUCGCGGCUUAUCAGCUUGUUGGUGGGGUAGUGGCUUACCAAGGCUUUGACGGGUAGCCGGCCUGAGAGGGUGACCGGCCACAUUGGGACUGAGAUACGGCCCAGACUCCUACGGGAGGCAGCAGUGGGGAAUAUUGCACAAUGGGCGGAAGCCUGAUGCAGCAAAGCCGCGUGCGGGAUGACGGCCUUCGGGGUGUAAACCGCUUUCGCCUGUGACGAAGCGUGAGUGACGGUAAUGGGUAAAGAAGCACCGGCUAACUACGUG
rnacentral:rRNA from 1 species